GCAAAGUAGAGAAUGUGCGUUAAGUGAUGCAAUACGGGAUGUUGAUUGCGUACGAAAGCGUUGGCGCUGCGGUGCAUUCUCGCGUCCGUUG
rnacentral:ncRNA from 1 species